AGCAAGGAGACAUUGAACUGAUGUUGAUUUUUCAUCUGAUCCAUCAGAAUCGUCAGGAUUGAAAUGUCAAUGCAAAAUCAAUGUUGAAACAACAUUAAAAUACUGAUGAAACCUGACAUUGACAUUGAAAUAACAUUGAUUCACUGUUGUUCUGUUAUCGUUGAUUGUUGAUCUAUUUAUAGUUGACAAUGUGACAACAAUCAUGUUGAAAAACCAUUGAUUUACGGUUGAGCGGGAAAUUAAAGCUGCUACCACAUGGACUAUUCCAUAGCACCCCUCUCACAGUGGUACAUCCCAUCAGGCAGUGGGGAAUUCCAUUUAAGCUCAGCAGAGUUGACCAGACGUUUUGUCAGAACACUGGAGAAGACAGUAGGAGCUCCUGCACGGCACUCUCGGCUGUAUCAGAUCAGUAAAGUACAAUCCAACCAUAAACAACCCCCACGUGUGAAAGUACCAGUCUGCCCCCCAACCCACUACUAGCACCCAUCAUGAUGCCCCGGCCAGCUACCGGCUCCUUUCGCCAACCUACUUACACAGCCAUGCAACCUCCCCAGCAAAUAGUCUACGUUCAGUGCCUUCUAACGAUGAUGCAGGCUUCCAAAAACUUACAACCAUGGUGAAAGAGCUGACCAGAGAAGUCGGGGCCUUCAGUGAGGAGUUCAGAGCCCUCCAUUAAUCCUGCAGCACUGAACCUGUUGAUGCUGGGGUAUUGCCUCUGGAUUAGCCUUUUAACAACAUAGAUGAGAUGAACUGUAAUGACCGGAGGCAAAUAAAGCAAUGUCAGCAGCUCUACCAUGAAGGAGAUCUUUGUCCUGUCCGAAGAAACGUCUUGACUCUGCUGGCGAAAAACAAGUGCACACUGAGUCAGAAAUCCUCCUGUCUUGUCCAACUUUCCCGAGAAUUCUUCCGAGGCUCAGGAGGCGGCGAGGAAGGAAGCAGGCAAGCGGCCACGACACUGAGAGGUAGCAGAGGUGGCGGAGGAUUAGUAAUACCAGGAGGGUGAGGCUGCAACAUACCUUUGAUUUCAGUGAUACACUGAAGUAGAGCACCUUGAAAAACGCUGGAGCAUUUUUGUGCCAAUCCAGUUGGUCUCGCUGCAGCAACAGAGUUUGCCAAACCAGAUAGGUUUGGCAAACUGUUAGAAUUAUUCUUUCAGGUUUCCGAAAGCAGGACCCAAACAUAGGAUUUCCUAAGUUGAAGACACUGUGGAUUAUUUGCACUGUUUGUCUUGAUUCACUGUAAACACACUGAGUGACACUGGGCCUUGCCUGACAGGCGGCAAUGCUAAAUGGCUGUGUCAUUUUAUGUCAUGUAUAUAACUCUUGACUUGUGUGAACAAUUGUAACAUGGUUAACAUCAUUGAAAGACACUGACCAUUAAUUAGGCUGCAAUACAGAGAGGAAAUUAAGCUCUCAAUAAAAAGUAUGUAUGUUUAUCAGACAUUAAAUGAGGAUUUUAUUAGGAUUAUGAAGUACAUAAAAUUACAGUCUUACUGAUUUUCAUC